GCUUUGGGGAGGUGGGGCGGGAGGGGGAGGCGGCCAGCUCACUUAGCUUUCCUACUUGGUGGUCUAGAUCUUGCUGGGAGGUGGCGCCGCGUUGAUGGGGUGCCCCGGUGGGAAUGCGAGCUGUGGCCCAGCCCUUCAGGUCUCAUUGGUUGUGGAUGGGAUCGAGCGCUGUUGGGCGGAGGUAGCUUUUGGCGGUGCCAACACGGAGGGUUGUGCUCCGUAGCCGCGGGUCCCUCGGCUCCACUUGCAGGGUGCGGGCCGUGAACUCGUGAGCAGUGCUGGGCGGGGGUGUGGGGGGCUCCAGGGGGAGGAGCCGGGACCACGACCAAAGGACGUCCGCCCUCCUCGGGGAAGACGCUGUCCCCGCUGCCUGGCCACGCCGCACCUUUUCAGAUUUUCGGCUCCCGCCCUG
rnacentral:lncRNA from 1 species